rnacentral:rRNA from 1 species
GACGAACGCUGGCGGCGUGCUUAACACAUGCAAGUCGAACGGAAAGGCCCUGCUUUUGUGGGGGGCUCGAGUGGCGAACGGGUGAGUAACACGUGAGUAACCUGCCCUUGACUUUGGGAUAACUUCAGGAAACUGGGGCUAAUACCGGAUAGGAGCUCCUGCUGCAUGGUGGGGGUUGGAAAGUUUCGGCGGUUGGGGAUGGACUCGCGGCUUAUCAGCUUGUUGGUGGGGUAGUGGCUUACCAAGGCUUUGACGGGUAGCCGGCCUGAGAGGGUGACCGGCCACAUUGGGACUGAGAUACGGCCCAGACUCCUACGGGAGGCAGCAGUGGGGAAUAUUGCACAAUGGGCGGAAGCCUGAUGCAGCAACGCCGCGUGCGGGAUGACGGCCUUCGGGUUGUAAACCGCUUUCGCCUGUGACGAAGCGUGAGUGACGGUAAUGGGUAAAGAAGCACCGGCUAACUCCGUG